CAAGUACUCCCUCUGUCCGGAAUUACUUGUCAUCAAAAUGGAUGUGUCUAGAACUAAAAUACAUCUAGAUACAUCCAUUUCAAUGACACGUAUUUUCGGACGGAGGGAGUACAAG
rfam:Triticum aestivum genome assembly, contig: Triticum_aestivum_CS42_TGACv1_scaffold_514707_6BS